UUUCGCUCAGCUGCCAGCAUACAUACAGCUUCUUCUUUAUGCCUAGAUAGAGUAGGAUGUGAAGCUUGUUCUCUUGUAGGCAAUGUGCAUUCAAAUGCACACGCACACACACGCAAGCAGAUUAAAUGUACCGUUAGGUGUGUGAGCGCGAGCGUCGCUAAUAACAAUUAAUUAGAAAUUAAACCCGUAUAUGGGCAAAACUAAUAUUUCUAUCGAAAAUGAGUCUAAACUUGUAAUCUAUGUUUGAGUAGUUUUUUUUUUGUGUGUGAACUGAUAGCGCUUUUUGGCCAUCUUUAAUUUCACACACACAUACACAUAAUACAUGCAUGUACAUUUAUUUAUUCACUCUUGCGUAAACUUUCUAGAUGGGCUGUGGGAGUGAGUCAGAGAAACAAGCACACUCACACAUACAACAAUAAGAGUAGCGAUUCAAACAGCGGCAAACAGCUGAGAAGUUUAAAGAAGAAGACGAUGUUAAAGCAGCUAUCGGGAGCAGCAGAUCAAGCAUUCUUCUUGUCACAUCAGUGGAAAUGCACUUAUUUUGGAUUUGCGCAUUUGCAAUAAAAAUACCAUGUAGUUAAAUUGAAAUGGAUAUGAAAUCAUCAUUAUAAAUAUAGCAAAAAACAAGCACACAUUACACACACUUGCAUGUGUGUGCGAGAGUGAAUUUAACAAACAAAAAGUGAUUCACGUAAAAAUAGCCAACCAACAAAAAUACAUAUCUUAACAGCUACAGCUGUCUUCUGUCCUCGAACACUUAGCGCCCACACAUACAAAGUCACAAAGUAUAUAUACAGCCUGGCCACAGGAGCGGAAAGAAUAAAAAAAACCCCACCCAACGUAACGACGACAAACGCAGCCGGCACUUUUCGCUGCUUACUGCACUGGCUAGCGAUUUUUGCACACAACUCAGAAAAUGUUCAUCAAUUAAUUUUACGCACAUUUUGUUGUUUAUAAUUAAAGUGAAGCACGACAAACAAACACACACAUAUAUAUCUAUUAUUGUUCACUUACCACAAAAAGUAAUAUAAUGCGAAGGUAAGCAAAUUAUUAACUACACAGAUUUUAGUAGAGCCGCCUCAAACGUUG